rnacentral:rRNA from 1 species
AACGAACGCUGGCGGCAUGCCUAACACAUGCAAGUCGAACGAAGCCUUCGGGCUUAGUGGCGCACGGGUGCGUAACGCGGGGGAAUCUGCCCCUUGCUUCGGAAUAACAGUUAGAAAUGACUGCUAAUACCGGAUGAAGUCUUCGGACCAAAGAUUUAUCGGGAAGGGAUGAGCCCGCGUAGGAUUAGGUAGUUGGUGGGGUAAAGGCCUACCAAGCCGACGAUCCUUAGCUGGUCUGAGAGGAUGAUCAGCCACACUGGGACUGAGACACGGCCCAGACUGCUACGGGAAGCAGCAGUGGGGAAUAUUAGACGAGGGACGCAAGUCUGAUCCAGCAAUGCCGCGUGAGUGAUGAAGGCCGUAGGGUUGUAAAGCUCUUUUACCAGGGAUGAUAAUGACAGUACCUGGAGAAUAAGCACCGGCUAACUACGUG